rnacentral:rRNA from 1 species
UAGGGAAUCUUCGGCAAUGGGGGGAACCCUGACCGAGCAACGCCGCGUGAGUGAAGAAGGUUUUCGGAUCGUAAAGCUCUGUUGUUAAAGAAGAACGAGUGUGAGAAUGGAAAGUUCAUACUGUGACGGUACUUAACCAGAAAGGGACGGCUAACUACGUGCCAGCAGCCGCGGUAAUACGUAGGUCCCGAGCGUUGUCCGGAUUUAUUGGGCGUAAAGCGAGCGCAGGCGGUUAGAAAAGUCUGAAGUGAAAGGCAGUGGCUCAACCAUUGUAGGCUUUGGAAACUGUUUAACUUGAGUGCAGAAGGGGAGAGUGGAAUUCCAUGUGUAGCGGUGAAAUGCGUAGAUAUAUGGAGGAACACCGGUGGCGAAAGCGGCUCUCUGGUCUGUAACUGACGCUGAGGCUCGAAAGCGUGGGGAGCGAACAGG